GGUAGGGGCUAGGGCCGACCCACCGAGUAGCAGCACGAGGACGCUGCCGUGAAGGGGAAGAGGGAGCCGGCCGCGCGGGAUCCCAAUCUAACGCCAGGGCACUUGGUCUGGCAUAAAGCACUGGGGACGUUUGUAGGAACAAAGCUGUACGAGUACACCAGCGUCCCCAUUCCUCACGGGACUCGCCUCCUGCAGGCUGUUAACAGGUGCUGUGGAUUAUAGAUGAUCGAGCUCUGGGCACAGUCCUUUAGAAACGCAGAUGCCUGUGUGGAGGAAAUUCUGGCAGGAGAAGAGUGGCGACUCGCCGCUCUGCUUGGAUCUCAAGGCAUGAGGUUCUGGGAGUGACUUGCAGCCUGCGAAGCCACGCGGGCCUUGCUGCCAGACGCGGACGGGCUGAAGACAGCAGCUCCUCUCUGAUGGACACCUCCAGGUUCCCAUGGAGGGGUGGGGAGCAUUGCACCGCCAUGAUGCCUUGUCUGCUGAGGGUGGGAGUUUUCAGGCCCUGUCAUGUGAGACUCACAGGGGCUCCUUCCUGUGAUUUGCAGCCUCCAUGACUUGGCUUCUCCAGAGCGCCAGAUACACACGAGGCAUUUUAUGGCAGUGGUCACUGGGACCCAACUCCCUUCUCUGUACACAGCUGGUUUUUAAUUUCCAGGUCAGAAAAAUUAUCCAACUCUCUCUUUUGCCAAAAAUGUUUUUCUCUUACAGGGCAGAAGCAGAAUGCAGCUCCUGCUCUUGAAAUACCGGAUGGAUGUUUCAGAGGGUAUUGUGAGGCUUGGAGCUCCAGCCAGUGACGUUCCAGCCAUAUCCUUCUUUCCUGGCUCCACUUCACAAAGGCUGGCUGUGUCUCUGGACUACACCUCAGAGCUAAUCUGCUUUCCGGAAGGGUCGUUUUUACUUCUGCUGGUGCUGUGCAUGUAGGAGACAGCUGUGGCCGGCCCUGUUUUCCUGGGGAAGGUGGGGGGUGGCAGAGGCGGUACCAUGAGCAAGGGAUGCAGAUGCUCAAGGGGGACGAGUCAGGGGACACGGGGAGGGUUUGGCCUAUUCAGCCAGGGGCUCGCCUCCUCCAUGGUAUAAACAUCCAUGUGAACAAAAAAGUUCUAAUAAGUACCAGCACACUGAGAAUAUUUUAAACUACAACUAUCAUGGAAAAUCUGGGAGGGUGGGUCCUAGGUCCCGGGUGGAAAAGUAGCUGAAAACAUGGUAGGAUUUGAAGAACAAUCAGAGGCAGCAUUCCACCUCUGAGAACAGUUCCUGUGAGUCACCUGAUGUUAUUCUAGGUUAAUUCUAUCACAGACAGUGUUUGUCAACCCGGCUGUGGGUACUUGAUUUCCUCUAAAAGCUCUGGAUGACAGAAGCAGAGCUGUGAAGAAAGUUACGUUGAAUAAAAUGCUUCCACUUAAAAGAAUAGGGCUUUUCCUUGAAAUGGCCCAAUGGAUCAGCCGUUUCCUCUCAUUUAUUAUUAUCAUCUCCAUUCCCAUGCAUGCUAUUUAGACGAGGAAGGCUGGAAGCAAGUGACAGGUGUGGCAGUGCUCGGCAGGGAGGCCUCUGCACCUGGCCCUUCGGGAGGGCCGGCAUGCAGCCUGACAACUGAGUGCCUUCUGCCUCAUUCCUCUCCAGAGGCCCUCAGUCUACGGUAGAGACCCAGGAGCUGGGAGAUGCUGAAUUUGUUAACAUGGCACAGAAGGACUAACCCAUAAACAUGAGCAUGAAUGUUUUUUGUUGGGGGGACUAAGGAGAUGACACUGAAAAGGAGAAUCACAAGCCAAGUGCCACAGCAGACCACACUGACUGCAAGCUGCCCUGCUAGGCUUUAUCCCAAAUCAAAGAAAAAGGGAGAAGGUCUUAAUAUUCUCACAGAUUUGUAACCACUUCACUGGGGUAAGUUUUCCUCUGUAUAGAUGACGGAUUAUCCUUCUAAGCUACAAGUUGAUAAAUGAGAAGCUAAAUAUAAAAUCUCUAGAACUAGGGUAGAUGAAGAUGUCUCUAUGUACACUGGGUGUCACUUAUAUACCUGCCUGUGUUAUUAAGGGCACACACAUUGUGUGGGGCUGUGGAAACUAUAAAUACUAGGAAUACAGAUUAAAACAGUAAUUUCACAAUGCAAGUAGUGCCAAGCCACAAAAAUAUGCCCGGAGCAUCUUCUCACGGAAAAUAUUUUCAUAGACGCUUUUCACCAGGCAUCUGCAGCUGGUUUUCUUAAAACAAUCAUAAUUUUAAGCACUAUAUGGUAAGCCAUUUGGAAACCAUUCGAAUUAUGCAAUAAAACAAGGAAAAAUAAAGAUGCCACUUGACAUACACUGAAACACAUAAAAUCAGAUACAGACUCUUGGGUGGAAAAAGUAUGUUCUUCACCUUAGUUCAGAUGUUAAUAUAUAAAACAUGCUCAGGGAACCCUGAAAAAAUCCAGAGGUGAACACUCUGAUGGUGAAUCACAUGUGUUCCUUCUUCUGAUCUUGAUGAUUCUUACAUUUUUAGGGUAUUGUACUGUUUUUUAGCCCUUUGAUUCAUUAAUGUAUAAGGGAAUAAAAAGGACAUCCAACUCAAAA